ensembl:lncRNA
GUUGCUGUUAUGCUGAGUAUAUGUUUUGUAAAUUAAUUGGAAAAAUGUCAAUAUAGAAGAACAUAUUUAAUGCUCAGAUAUCUGAGAGGUUUUGAGAAAGAGGUAGAGGUGUAGAAAGAGGAGACAGAGGCAUAGAAAGAGGUGACAGGUGUAGAAAGAGGAGACAGAGGUGUAGAAAGAGGAGACAGGUGUGGAAAGAGGAGGUAGAGGCAUAGAAAGAGGAGGUAGAGGUGUAGAAAGAGGAGGUAGAGGUGUAGAAAGAGGAGACAGAGGUGUGGAAAGAGGAGAUAGAGGUGUAGAAAGAGGAGACAGAGGUGUAGAAAGAGGAGACAGAGGUGUAGAAAGAGGAGACAGAGGUGUGGAAAGAGGAGGUAGAGGCGUAGAAAGAGGAGACCGAGGCAUAGAAAGAGGAGAUAGAGGUGUAGAAAGAGGAGACAAGAGGCGUAGAAAGAGGAGACCGAGGCAUAGAAAGAGGAGAUAGAGGUGUAGAAAGAGGAGACAAGAGGCAUAGAAAGAGGAGAUAGAGGUGUAGAAAGAGGAGACCGAGGCAUAGAAAGAGGAGAUAGAGGUGUAGAAAGAGGAGGUAGUGAUUUAGGAGACUGUAGAAGUGAUAUCAGCUUCAUAGCGCCACCUCGAGGAGAGAUGGGAACUGCUGGGUCUUUAAUGUGGAGAGGCCUUUACCAAACUUCAGCCUCCUGAGUGUUAACAUUAGCGUUUCAGUGUUAAUAUACUGAGUGUUAAUACACAUUUCUCUAAAGGUAAAUGAUGUUAUAUAGAGUUUGGUAGAACUAAAACCGUGUAAGUAAACAAAACACAAAUCUAGGGAAAAGCUUGGAAGUUGUCGGCGCACGAAUGUGACGUCAUGCUUUGGCACCGGAAGCAGAAUUGUAAACAGUAAUAGU